CGUGGCUUGGCUUGCUGGGAGAGAAGAGGCCAUGAGCCAGGAGAAGGCAGCACUAGAGGAAAGUCAGGAUGAAUAUGGGACAAAAUGAGUGUAAAAAUGGAGCCCCCAGAGAAGGGGUCUGAGCAUUGGAUAUAGAAUCUAAAAAGGAAUGAGGCUAAUCUGGAGCAUUUUAUAAGAUCCACCAGCUUCAGUUCCUGCACAGAGGAACGGGAGAUACAAUUUUGAAGAUGCUGAGAUAAAGGAUUUCUGAGUGGGUUGCAUUAUAAGGGCUGUUAAGAGAGACUAUAAGGGCUGAUAAGGGAGACGAUAAGGGAGAAUGGGUCAGGCAAACAGGCUCCAGCCUCCUUGAGAUACAAGAUAGAGCUUCUCUUAGGGAAUAGCGCUUGGGUUAGGCUUUCACUGGAGGGUACCUUGGGAGUGCCUGGCUAUCCCUCUGCCAGCCAGAGGCAGUGAAUUCAUUUUACUCUUGCUGUGGGGCAUACUGUUAGGCUACUGCUGCCAGGUUUCUCACUGGUUCUAAAGUAGGAUUGUGGCAGGGGUAUUCAUGCUAAACAGCUGAGAUAGGGCUCGGGUAUUAUGGGAACUGACUAGCUCAAAUAAGAGUCUUGGAAUAUUUUGGAGUGAGGGAGGCUUCCAUGACUUCUGAUUUAUGAGGUCCUCUAAGUUGUGAUCUUCAAGGAAGGGAAGAUGCUUUUGUGAUAUAUCCCAGCAUGCUGAUGACCCCAAGGAGGACCACUGGAUACCUAGCAAGGAAAAAGAAGAACUGAUUGAAGAGUGGCAACCAGAACCUCUUGUUCCUCCUGUCCCAAAAGACCAUCCUGCUCUCAACUACAACAUCGUUUCAGGUUCCUCUGGCAGCCCUCCUCAAGGACCUCUGUGAGACAAAGUCAGAAAUGACUUCACUGGAGACCAAGAGAGCCCACAGAGCUCUUCCUGCUGCUUCUUCUACCCUUGUACUCACUCGGCUCUCUAAAUUUGUCUCAGCUCCAGGGACACAAAAUGGGGGAAACAUGUUGUUUCUGCUUCUGCAAGGAACCAGACUGCCAUCUCUAAUGCAUGCAUCACAGGUACCCAGUAGGGGCAGUCAAACAGCAAAAGCUACACAAUGAUGGGCCACGGGAGCAAGG
rnacentral:lncRNA from 1 species